rnacentral:rRNA from 1 species
UACGAAGGGGGCUAGCGUUGUUCGGAAUUACUGGGCGUAAAGCGUGCGCAGGCGGUUUUGCAAGCCGGAUGUGAAAUCCCCGGGCUCAACCUGGGAAUGGCAUUUGGGACUGCAAGGCUCGAGUGCGGCAGAGGAGACUGGAAUUCCUGGUGUAGCAGUGAAAUGCGUAGAUAUCAGGAGGAAUACCGAUGGCGAAGGCAGGUCUCUGGGCUGACACUGACGCUCAUGCACGAAAGCGUGGGGAGCAAACAGG